CCUGUUGCACCACCAGGGUGCGCUGUCAUAUCUUUGAGGUGAUAGACCUAGGGAACAGCCUGCUCAGUCUGGAGGAAUACAACUUCUUUGGGGAGAAGUGUGACAGGGAUGCCUGGGCUGCAGUGUUGUGGUCCGGUCUCGAGGUCUCAGUGUCAAAUACAUUUUUACUCGGAUCUUGGACAAUGAGGACUUGUAAUUUCUUCCCGAGACCAGCGGAGUACAAAACAAAUAAUUAUCAGCUCCAAUUAAAUCCCUCGCCCCCCUCCCGGUCUCGGCCUUGACUCGGUCCCCCCUCUGGCCUUGGUCCUGACUCAUAUUUGAUUUGCUCUGGUCUUGGUCUCAAACACUGCUGGGCAGUCUGCAAAGUGUGACUCCCUUCCAGAGAACUUUGACACCAGGAAGAACCAGCUGUUGUCAGAUCUUCAUGGAGCUCAACAUGAUGGAGGCCAGUGAGAGGGAGGGAGAACACACAGACCUCAGGUAGUGUACUUUGGAGCCGGUCAGUCUGGAGUCAAGCAACAGGAUGCUGAACACGGCCCUGCAGAGGCCCAUCACGGCCAGGUCAUAGGUCAAAACUCUCAGGGAUCAGGAGAACGUCCUGGUCUACACCUACAGAGGAUAACACAGGAUCUCAACUGUCAAUUCCAACUAGGUGAAGGACUAGAAUCAACACUAUUUAGAGGUUUAUUCAACCAACAAGAUGAUCUUCCACUAGAGCAGGGUUUCCCAAACUCGGUCCUGGGGCCCUACUUUGGUGCACAUUUUGUUUUUUGCCCAAGUACUACACAGCUGAUUCAAAUAAUAAAGGCUUGAUGAUGAGUUGGUUAUUUGAAUCAGCUGUGUAGUGCUAGGGCAAAAAACUAAACGUGCACCCAAGUGGGGCACCAGGAACGAGUAUGGGAAACACGAGAGCCCUCAAACUUAACUCUGGACCUCGAAGCCAGUUUCAUUGCUUUGUUUCAUUGUUCCCCUCUAAUCAAUGACUGAUUUAGACCUGGGACACCAGGUGGGUGCAAUUAAUUAUCAGGUAGAACAGAAAACCAGCAGGCUCCGGACCUUGUAGGGCAAGAGUUGAAUACCCCUGCACUCUAAUGAGUGUAAUACCUUCUAAGUAUUUUUGAUACACACUAGCUGCUGUUGAGAAACAAACAUGGCUGUUUCUUCAUGUAUCUGAUCCAUGUUUAACCAACUCUGUUUUCAUAUAUUUUGUGUGUGUGUGUAUAUGAUAGACCUCCAAAGUAACACAUUACUGCAAGUUUAGAACUAGUGAGUGUCUAUCACAUGAUGCUGUCAUUGAUAUGCAGCUAUCGCCUCCAUAAACAUGGCAACAGGAUCCCCCUGUGAGAAUGCCCUGGUCACAUGAU